GGGUCUGUGUCUGUCUGUAUGAUGCUUUUGCCGGGGUAGAACAGGAAUGGAGUCUUAGAACUUACAUCAACAACACUUGAAGAACAAAGGAAACAGCAUUGGACUGGGAGGAGGAUUUUGACUGAAAAGUUCAGCCAGUAAGACUAAGACAUUGUUGUAACAACCAGGCAAGGCUGAACUGAAGUUACCAACUCAUAUCACAAAGACAUUGAACAGCUGGUAGAAGGUCUGUGGGGAGAAGAGGCUGUGCAGGGACAGAAAGGUUGACAUCUACAGGCAGAUUAUUUGGGGUGCGGAGAAGAAGGGCUACAAAUGGACCAGCAGCAAUGCCAUGUGACAGCCAAAAGGCAAGGUGCGGAGCCGUAGGCCUGCCACUUUUACCAAGAGCUGUAUGCCAUCCUCAGCAGAGAUGCCCACCCCUCAGGAGUGUUGUGCAUACUCAGGAGCCAGAGUCCCUGCUGUGAACAGCGAGAAGAAGGUGGUGGAGGAGGAGUAUGGAGGACAGGCAACUGGGGGAUUCCGCGACACAGCAAGCCAGGACAUGUUCUUGACUCCCCCACAGUCCAGCCUGUCCCUACAGUUGAGCAUACAUAAGCCUGAUGCAGGGGAAGGAAUCUCUGCUGUGCCAUUGUGGCCUUGAGGGAGCUCCUGAGCCAAAUAAGGAGGAGAAAGAAGAGAAUUGGAGAUGACAUGUUCAAGGAGAUGCUGCAAGCCUGUACUGCAUCAGAAAACAAGACAAGGGUCUGGAGGAUGACCACUGCAGAAAGUGUGGCGAAGAGAGAGGCCCAGGAGUCCAAACAAGAAAAUGAGGGGGAUGCAUCGGGAUAUAAUGGGGCUUCUCAGGUAGCAAACUGAGAUGCUUCAGACUCGGCUGGACCUGUAUGUCCAAGAAUACCAUGCUCCCCUGCCUCUGUAGACAACGCGCUGUCGGGACCUCCCUACACCACCCCUCAACAUUCCACCUGGCAUCAGGGGCCACAGCACUACCCCGACUACUCCACCCGGGGGGACACUAAGGACAAUCACAGCUCCACAGUCACUGGCCUGUGAAAGAGACACAGGUGGUGUAUGUGUAAAUGAAAUGGAACUGACUGUUCUUUCCCUUUUAUUAAGCUCGAAAUGUUUAUUUGCCUGGUUCAUGUUACAGAAUAAAAAUCUUUCUUUGGGGUGGGGCAGAACAUAAUUCAUCUUUAUUAGUUCACAGCAUAUGCUGGCUGGUAUUGAGCAGGACUGACAGACACCAAUUUCCUGUUUUACUUUGUCACAGAACCCAUAACAUCACUCCUAGACAAUACCGCUAGAUGUGUAAGCAAUGUUACUACAUUCACGGUCCAUUUUGGCCAAUUUCACAGUCAUGGGAUUUUAAAAAUCAUAAAUUGCAUGAUUUCUUAUAUUUAAAUCUGAAAUUUCAGAGUGUUGUAAGUGUAGCGGUCCUGAUC